ACCAACAUCCUACGAACUACCUCUACUUGGUCAUCUUCAUGUCCGGGGGAAUCCAGAAGCCAAACCAGGGUGUACGCAGCCGGAAGCAACAAGAUUUUUAACCGAUGAUUUGCAAUGUGAGAAAAAGCAGAGAAUUUGGAUUAUAACAAUUCUAAAAAAAAUAGGGAGUCACAUAUUUUGGUUUCACAUAUUGCAUCAAUUCCAAUCUGUUUAAUUUUCAGUCCAACAUGGAAUCGAGUAAAUCAAAAUUCCAAAUCCAGAUCCCAAGUCAAAAUUUGGUCCGAAAUACGAAGCUACAAAUAAUUGAUGAACGAAGAAUUGUACAACCUAAAUCAAAGCCAGAUCUGGAGGCAGAAAUUCCCUCGUUGCUUCGAAGCGAAAUAAAAAAGCUAAAUCAAGCAAUAACUCUUUCUUUGCUGCUCCCGUGCAUGAUUCUCUCCGGACGACCAGCCGUUAUCUGAUCCGAGCACUUCACGAGGCCAGCCACCGGAUCUUCGAAGGUGGGGAGUAGGAGGGCCCGCGGCAGCCCGGCGUCUCCCCUCAACUACUCCGCCUCAGGAGGCUCGUGCGCGUCCACCUGCGGCGGCAAGGACGGCGCCUUCUCGUCGCCGUCGCCUGCUGCUGCUCCGUCGGCGGCGCUCGCCUCCACGGUAGGCGACAGGAUCUUCCAGGGAGGCAGCGGAAUCCGGGCGUGCCGGCGGAUGGCGUCAGGCUAGAUCCGGCCGGAUGGAGGCCUUCGGAGGCUGGCGCUGCCGAGAUCGUAUGUGGCGGCGAUGUCGACUAGAUCGGUCAGAGAUGGGGAUUAGGGAAGAGGGGUGGUUGGGUGAGAGAGGUGAUCGGGAGAUAUUUUCACGGGGCGAGUGGGGCACGUCCAUGAAGCUGUUUGUUUUUUGGGUUGGUCGAAGUCUCCAUUCGAAAUGGCCCAUGUUCUACCCAUACCAAAAUCCAAACAUGUGCUGGCCCAGGUUCACAC
rnacentral:lncRNA from 1 species